rnacentral:rRNA from 1 species
UACGAAGGGGGCUAGCGUUGCUCGGAAUUACUGGGCGUAAAGCGCACGUAGGCGGCUCUUUAAGUCGGGGGUGAAAUCCUGGAGCUCAACUCCAGAACUGCCUUCGAUACUGUAGAGCUUGAGUUCGGGAGAGGUGAGUGGAACUGCGAGUGUAGAGGUGAAAUUCGUAGAUAUUCGCAAGAACACCAGUGGCGAAGGCGGCUCACUGGCCCGAUACUGACGCUGAGGUGCGGAAGCGUGGGGAGCAAACAGG